UUGAAUGGUUGGUGACACUGACAACCCCUGUUUCUUAGGGUUUCCAGAUGUAUUGGUUACACUGUAACCUCCCUGACUUCAGCAGCUGGAGCUACAGUUUCAUCUUGAAGGCAGAAGUAACUGAAAACCUGCAUAUUGGCCUGUUGCAGACUACAAAUGUUACUGAAUUACUUUCACUUUCAAAAUAAUUGUUAUUUCCGUAAGACUUACAAGAAACAGAAAGAGAACAAAGAAAUCACAUGUUUUGGGAAGGCAAUUCAAAUACAGCAUAUAUAGACAGACAUGAAACAGAUGCAUUUCCUAUGAAGAUAACAUGCACACCCAGGCACCUUUACGGCCAGGGAAUCUGAUACAAGGAUAAGCCAUAAAAAUGAAAUGCGCAGAAUGCGACGGCAAAUGUCUGGAAGGAGGGACACACUGUCCGGAAUGUCAGCAGGCUCUGAAGUGCCCAGAUGGGUCGCAGAGUCAGACAGAAGGAACUAAACCUUUAGAACUAGAUACAAAUGAACCAAACCCUCUAAGUGCAGGACGGUCAGAAAACGCCCCUGCUGAACAGGACGCAGGACCUGGACUCCAGCCACCAGCUGAUUCUGCUGAAGCAGCCAAUGAGG